CAGCAUUAAAAACAGGCCUUCCCCAACUCUAUUACACGCCUUUCAUUGAGCAGGCUUCCUCCACAAAAUUAAACUCGCCCAAAUUGCAAACUUUCAGGGAGGAAAAUGAACCAUAAUCGAAACUGAAACCCUAAAUCUAAACCCUGAGCUCGAAAUCAAGGUCCUUCACGCCGUUGCUAAUUACUCAAACAGCCUACGCAAGCAUGAAGAAGCAGCUCCCAUUCCGUUUCUGUAGUUCUCGCAAUGGACGGACAACGUGAAGGUAAAUCUCAAGCUUAUGGGUUUUAAAAAUUUGACACUUAUGGGUUUUAAAAUUUUGGGCUUUGUAGUUGCUAUUCAUCUGAUACUUUUGGUUUUUGCAGCUGCUAAUUUAGGUUUUGCAGUUGCUAUUCCCGUAUCUGAAGAUUUUGAAGUUGCUAUUCAUGACAUUUUGGGUUUUACAAAUCUAAAAAAUAUUUAUUUACAUGGUUUCUUUUGGAAAUUGUCAUUGUACUCUUCCUCCCAACACUUGGAUUAAUUAGCAGAAUCCUGUGUCUCAUUUGAAUGACCUUUGUAACAUGAUUUAAUUUUUCAAUGGAUUUAGUUUGAUUCUGCUUGAGUUCUCGACUUGGAUACGAGGUUGAUCGGUUGAGUAGGGUUGAAUCAUUUGAUAGCUAAUUAAUCCCAACAUCUAUACUAUAGUAGCAAAUAUAUAUAUUUUAAAGUUUUGCCACAGUUUGUUGUUCUCCACUUGACGGUUUGCAUCUACUCUUGUUAAUGUGGGUUAAUUAUAUGACAGAUUGUGGAGUGAAUAGCCCAAAUGGUCACUAAACUUUGCACCAGGUCCGCAAAAGGUCACUGAACUUUCAAAAUUGUCUAACUCAUCACAGAACUUUGCGAAAAGUCCAUCAAAGGUCACUGAACUUUCAAAAUCGCCUCACUUAUCACUAAACUUUGCAUUUUGUAAUCUCAUUAGUCAUUCAGCUAACGGUCCAUCCAAAAACUAACCGAAUACUCACGUGGCCGGCUGAUGUGGAUGCCAAGUCAAACAAAAGAAGUACACGUGAAUUUUUAUUUAAAUUAAAACAUGUUUUAUUAAAAUAAUAAUAAUAAUAAUAAUAAUAAUAAAUAAAACAUGUUUACGGUGGUGACUGUUGCUACAACAGUUUAUGGAAUUUUCAAUUUUUUUAUUUUUAUAAAACAUGUUUUAAUUCAAAUAAAAAUCCACCUGUACUUCUUUUGUUUGACCUGGCAUCCACAUCAGCCAGCCACGUGAGUAUUCGGUUAGUUUUUGGAUGGACCGUUAGUUGAGUGACUAAUGAGAUUACAAAAUGCAAAGUUCAGUGAUGAGUGAGGCGAUUUUGAAAGUUCAGUGACCUUUGGUGGAUUUUUCGCAAAGUUCAGUGAUGAGUUAGACAAUAUUGAAAGUUCAGUGACCUUUUGCGGACCUGGUGCAAAGUUUAGUGACCAUUUGGGCUAUUCACUCCAGAUUGUGAGUAAAUUACUACUACUUCGCACCUUUUACUUUGAUACCAAUGCUCUGGUUAUAGUAAAUUCCAACAAGAUUAGUUUCAAGGAGAACUAAGAAUCAAUUUAAACACAGAGCGACUGAGUAGUUAAUGAACAAGUUAGUAAACAUUUAUUACAUUUCGUUUAUAAGAAUGAGAUCAAUAGGAAAUAAAAUCUCAACUGAUUGUUUCAUUCUUCCCUUAGGGGAAAUUUGUUGCUACCACAUGGAAUGGAGCAUCUAUAGGCGAAACCCCUUGUGCAGCUAACAAAAUGUAAACGAAGCCGGACCAAAUGUUGCAGCUCAUGUACCAACUGAGGAAGACAACUUAAUUGAAAUGGAGGAAGAAUUGGCACACAUAGAUGAGGCGACUUCUUUGAAUGUCAUAUCCUUUGAAUGUCAUAUCGGGAAGACCAAGAACAAGAUGAAGUUCAAAGAAGCCAAGAGCAAAAUUCACACGGUGUACACGCGGAAGCACACAUCAGCUUAAUUUGCAUAAUAUGAAGCAAGAUGAAGUUCAAAGAAAUUGUUUUUGUUGGAAGUCUGUAGUGUAACAAUCGAUAGCAGUGUUUUAGAAGCCGUUUAAGGCAUGCAUCAGUUUUUAAGGGAUCAUUGCUGUUUAACUUUUCAUAUCUGGAUUGAGAUCAACCUUCGAAUGUAUCUGUUGAGCUUGCUGUUAAUAACAAACCUCAUGACAAAGUCAUGCAAUGUUCUUACUUCUUUUACCGUGGCCUUUCUAGUCUGUGACAAAGUCUUCUUUAGUUUUGCAUUGCAGCUAUGUACAAUUCUG
rnacentral:lncRNA from 1 species